GACGAACGCUGGCGGCGUGCUUAACACAUGCAAGUCGAACGGAAAGGCCCUGCUUUGUUGGGGUGCUCGAGUGGCGAACGUGUGAGUAACACGUGAGUAACCUGCCCUUGACUUUGGGAUAACUUCAGGAAACUGGUGCUAAUACCGGAUAGGAGCUCCUGCUGCAUGGGGGGGGUUGGAAAUUUUCGGCGGUUGGGGAUGGACUCGCGGCUUAUCAUCUUGGUGGUGGGGUAGUGGCUUACCAAGGCUUUGACGGGUAGCCGGCCUGAGAGGGUGACCGGCCACAUUGGGACUGAGAUACGGCCCAGACUCCUACGGGAGGCAGCAGUGGGGAAUAUUGCACAAUGGGCGGAAGCCUGAUGCAGCAACGCCGCGUGCGGGAUGACGGCCUUCGGGUUGUAAACCGCUUUCGCCUGUGACGAAGCGUGAGUGACGGUAAUGGGUAAAGAAGCACCGGCUAACUACGUG
rnacentral:rRNA from 1 species